rnacentral:miRNA from 1 species
UUCGCCUUCAAUCUGAACCCCG